rnacentral:rRNA from 1 species
GAUGAACGCUGGCGGCGUGCCUAAUACAUGCAAGUCGAGCGAACGGACGAGAAGCUUGCUUCUCUGAUGUUAGCGGCGGACGGGUGAGUAACAAGUGGAUAACCUACCUAUAAGACUGGGAUAACUUCGGGAAACAGGAGCUAAUAACGGAUAAUAUUUUGAACCGCAUGGUUCAAAAGUGAAAGACGGUUUUGCUGUCACUUAUAGAUGGACCCGCGCUGCAUUAGCUAGUUGGUAAGGUAACGGCUUACCAAGGCAACGAUGCAUAGCCGACCUGAGAGGGUGAUCGGCCACACUGGAACUGAUACACGGUCCAGACUCCUACGGGAGGCAGCAGUAGGGAAUCUUCCGCAAUGGGCGAAAGCCUGACGGAGCAACGCCGCGUGAGUGAUGAAGGUCUUCGGAUCGUAAAACUCUGUUAUUAGGGAAGAACAUAUGUGUAAGUAACUGUGCACAUCUUGACGGUAGCUAAUCAGAAAGCCACGGCUAACUACGUG